rnacentral:lncRNA from 1 species
AAGCUCUAAAGGUGUGUUUGGUCCAUGGGAUUGGUAUUUGAAUCCAAAUCCAUGUUUGAACACUUUGAAUAAACUUCCUAGGAUUGAGAAACCAAUCCCUUUUUUCUAUUGAAUGUCAUACAUUAUACAAAAAAAAAAUCACUUCAAUUACCUAUUAUCAAUGACAACCGAUUGUGAUUGAUUGACCAUGCAUGGCAUCUGAUUGUCUUAACCGUUGACUUUGGAUCAUCUUGAUCGUCGACUCUAGAUCAUCUUGAACGUCGCCUCCAGACCAUCUUGAUCAUCGAUCCUCUUGACUGUUGGUGAUCAAUCAUCUUGAUCGUUGGUGACCUACAACUUUGGACGUUAGUAUCGUAGAGUGAACAUCUUGAUUGUUGGCGAAUAAUGGUUAUCGUUAAUGAUCGAUCAUCGUACCUAUUAACAAUUGGCCGCAUUGAUGGUCAAUGACCAAUAGCCAUGACCCUUGGAGAUUGAUUGAGAGAGAAUACUAAAGAUCAAACUACAUCGCAUUAAAUCAACAUAAACAUUCAACUGAGAGAGAAUCAAAUAUUAGAAAUUAAACUACAUCGCAUAAAAUCAACACAAACACGAUAUAAACACAACAUUUAUAGUUUUCUUUUUAAGGUGAACAUCCCAUAAAAAUACUUUAUAUUGAUUUUAUCACAUAGCAACAGUAAAAACAAUGAAUGAAAGAAAGGAAAAAAGGAAAAAUUUAUUCCUUUUAUUCAUAGUCAUUCAUUUUUUUUUUUCCUUUUCUUUUUUAAAACUGUGAGGGUCAGUAUGUAAAGGUUUAGUCGUUUAUAAAACAAUAUUUUAAAGAAAAAAACAAAGAGGGGAAAAAAAGCUAUGGAAAUUUUAAAUGUCAAUUCAUCUACUACUUUGUUGGUUAAUAUGCUUUUUACCUGUUUAUUCCUUUAUGAUACAAAUGAUUGGCUAUAAAGGAUGUUCAAUAUAUAUCUAUAUUAAUUAUGGUCAUGGAUUAGGUAACUAAGUUCUAACACUUAACUUCAAAUUGAUUUAACUACCCUACAUAUGAUUUUUCUUAAGAUUCAUGUAAACUAUAUUUUAGUCACUUAUUCGCAAUCGAACAUGGUUGAAUAUCUAUUAAAACAUAAGUAUAUGCCAAGUGUUUAGGGAAUUGACUCACUACGCUAAUGAUUUUUCUUAGUUUGGUUCGGAUUAUUCAUUUUAAAUCUUAUGUAUAUCUUAUUAUAACUUCUUUUAUGAUUUAGGAAUAUUUGUGUCUUUCAUUGAAUCCACUUCUUAUAAAUAGGUGUUAACAUUUCUCACAUAUCAAUUAUUCAAUAAAAAUAUAUAUAAACGAUGCAUAUAGUAAAUGCGGAAUUUUGAAAAUGAUAAUACAACAUUGAAUAUUUUUCUCUCACUUGAGAUCUUAUUUUGGGCGAUUUUCCGACGAUUCUUGAGCGUCUUCUUCGGCGGAUUGCGAUCGGCAUCAAUUCCAUAACGUUUUGCUUAUGGAGCACUUUAGAAACCCACACCCUUGUUGAUUUUGUGGUGUGUUAAUUUUAUCUUUAUUCCGAGUUACUUUUUUGUACUAUUAUUUUCAUGGAAGGUUCGACGGAUCAAGAAAUAAUUUUGGAUGAGUGGAAGGCCCUCAGUCUCACUAACCCUAAGGAUGAAUCGAUGAUGGAAAUCAACAAGGGGGUUGCUGAUGAUUUUGUGGAAAAUUGGACAAGUUGUUGCCUUUUUGGUAAAUUGCUUUCGGGUCAGAGUCAUUAAUCGAGAGGUCACCCACAACUGCACGUUCCAUAUAGCAUGGCGUUUAGAUCGUUAGUUGGAGGUUGAAAGUCGACCAUGUUUGCCAAGGCAUCACUUGACAUAAAUAUCUCUUCUUUUCAUCUCACGAUAUAGUGCAGUAAACUUUCAAUGUCAUUUUUAAACCAACGUCAAAGUAAAAAUGACAUUAAAGACCUUUAAUAAUGCUAGCAUAGAUGUCGGUUUCCAACAGACACUAAAGGUCAUUAAUGUUGUUUUAAACCGACAUUAAAGGCUAGAUUUCUUCUAUUGCACUAGAAGAAAACCUGUCUACUAUGAUAGUUAUAAAUCUAAAAAAAUGAAUGAAAAAAAAAAAUUGUCACAAAAUAGAAAAUUUUGCGUUUUUGGCGGGAAAAGACGGAAUUUUUCGGAAAACACUUUUCGCGACAGUUAUUAAAUGUCAUAGAAUGUUAGGGUUAAAAAUUUUUUCUUUUUUCCUUUUCUUUUCUUUUUCCUUUUUCUUUCUUUUCCCUAUUUCCUUCUUCCUCCCCGUGCGUCCUUCCCCUUCUCCCCAGCCGCAACCGCCGCGCCUCUUCUCCUUCCUCCCGUACGCCGCGACGACCCCACCGUCUCCUUCUCCCUUCCCUUCCGUUUCCUUCCUGCCGCAGCCAGCCGUCUUUCUCUUCCGUUUUCUUCCCGCCGCAACCCAGCCGUAGCCCGCGAUCUGCCGUCUCCAUCUCCGGUUCGCGAAGCAACCUUGCAGCAGUCGUCCCGCGCGCCGAUCUUCCGUCUCCAUCGCCGGUUCUGUCUUCGUCGAAGCCCGAGCCGCCGUGUGAACCAGUAACUGCCACGUCCGCCGCUCACAACCGCCGUGAAGCCAGCCGCGCAACCUUCAUUCCAACCGCUGCACUGCCGCGCGAUUCUCCGGCCACGUCUUCUUUAGCCGACCGCUGACCGACCCACACUUAGGAUUUUGCUGCGAGUUCGACAGUCGUGCGUUGAGGUGUUGGGAGUAACCUUGGGCUCCCUUAAAUUCACAACCAAAUUGUGAAUUGUUGAGGGUUCAGUUCGCCAAUAUUAAGAAUUUGAUUCAUUGGAUUUAGUCGAUUGAAGAAUUUGCAUAGAAAUCGAGGUAAGGGAUUUUCUUUGUCGCUUUCUUCCCCAUUGUUUCAUUUUCUUCUGGCACCGAACAUCGGUGAGGCCCCAUCGUUCCGUUUUCUUUAGUCAUUGAAUGCCAGUGUGUAGCGCCCACCUCUAGGUGACGGAUUUUCAGCAGCCACCGUCGCCCUCUUCCAAUUUUGUUUUCGACAACCCUCUCUAUUCUAUGUUGCUGUUUCCAAUGGGGUUGUAUUAUCUUCUGGAGUAUACAUGUUAGAUUUGUUGUAGAUGUAGCCAUGGUUGCUUCCUCCUUCGUUGCUUAUUCUUAACUUGAUGUAACUUAUAGCCAUCUAAUUCGUUUCUUCUUCCUAUUUUUUCUCCUCUUCUAAUGGCAUCUUUCAUUCUCUACAUCCAACUUGCGCAACCGUGAUAUAUUCUCCAAGGUAAGUAUCUCUUUAAUGGACGUCAAAAGACUGCAUCUUGAAAAAUGAUUUCAUCCAAUAUAUAUUCAUAUGGGCUUUUUUAUUCCUUUGAAAGAAUGCCAUUCAUAUAUUACACAUCCUUAUACCUGAGUUUACAAGGUUGUUAUAGUACUUUCGCGUUUCAUGAGUGAAAAGAUAGAAUCAAGUUGCGGAAUUACGUUCAUUUUUAGAGCUCUUAAGUGAUUGAAGAUAGUUGAUGUAUAUUUAUUUUCUCAAAAGUCACAUUUUUUGCAAGUUUGGUUUACUUUGGAUUUAUUAAAGAUAAUACCAGUUCACUUAUUGAUUCCAUUCAUUCCCGAAAAAAUUCUUUAAAAAAAUUUAGUUUAACACCAAGAAUCGCUUUGAGGAUUUAUCUCCUUAAGGGUUGUCGGAACCAUAUACUGAACAUCUACAAUACGUUUGAUCAUAGUUAACUUUACAAUGAUCUAGUUGAUAGUCUUCCUAUUUGUUGAGCUUCUCUUUUAGAUUGAAGGAAAGGGAAAGACUUGGCUAGGUUGUGGCAAGCAAACUUCUUCGCUAUUAUGUGGAGAAAUUUAGAGGGGAGGCUAGGGAGUUAGAGAGUUUUUUUGGAAAAAAAAAAAAAGAGACGAGACUUUACAUUAAGAGAAUGAAAAAAAGACCAAUGUUCAAAGAAGUGAAAAAGAGCAACAUAGCACAAAAAAAGACAUAGGAACAUAAUGCAAAAAGUAAGCUAGAGAGGUGAUAAGGAUAAUUAGUAUAUUUUAGUUAAUUGGUUAAUUGUCUUAUUUUCCUGUAAGGCUAUAGAUAGCCAAUUUAGAGUGUAUUUGAACCUCUUGAAUAUCUUUCCAAUAUAGAACGUUGUUCUUGGAGAGCUUUUUCUCAUCUCUAAGGAAUGAGAUUUCUCUUGUUCCAGAAUGGAUUUGGCAUGGUACUCCAACCUGCUGCAUCAAGAGGUUUAAUUAUUCAGUUUGGGCAUUGAUCACUAGGACUUUUUGUAAUUGUGAUAAUGAUCUUGUUCUUUUUUAUUAGAUUGUUUUAUGUGAUUAGUCAUUGACUCCUUUUUAUGAGUAUUACGUCUUUUUUUUGUUUUUCUUAUUGCAAUUGAGAAUUUAGCCAUUGUGCUUACUCUUUAUGGAGUAUCUAAAGACAAGAAAUCGACACUCCAAUGCUAUGAAAAUUUUCCUAUAAGGUAACAUUUAUAGUCUCAUGUUCAUUUGGUAUGUUAUUUUAUUUGCUUACUUUGUAAUACUAUUCUAUUUUAGAGCUAUUUAGUCAAUUGAUUGUAAAUUCUGACUACAGCUGAUGAUAUGUGGGGAAGAUAUUCAUAGUUCAUCUUUAUUGGCGAUGAUUGCAUAAUACAAACUGUUUAACUCUAAGGAUUACAAAUUGUCGUACAUGUAUUGUCGUAGGCUGUUUUGUUCUAAGGACUAGGAACAACCCAAGAAGUUGUUCAAUUUGCAGUGGCCAUUUGGUUGGACGUUCUUCUUCUCCUUGAUCUCUUUCUCCUCUUCUUAGGAACUUCAUUUUCAUUAUCAGAUUUGAAGAGGGACCACCAUGAGUGGGGUAGUAAAAUGAAUAGAGAAUGGGAGAGUGAGCUGGGUAUGUUUUUGGUAUGUGUAUUCUAGAGAGAAAGAGUAGCAGUAUGUUUUUGUUUGCUGUGUUUGCCUAAUAUAGUCCUCAUGGUCUUCUCUUUUCAUUUCAUGGAAUCAAGUGUUGAAGUUCUUGUUUGUGUUCUGUAUUUUGUUGAGACGUUGAUUUAGUUAUUCAUUGACUGUACGUAUGUGUUAUGGAUUCUUUGUAGGUUCAACUGGAGUCGACAAGUUCAUGAGUUUUGUUUCAAAUAUCAUUUCCAGAAACGAACAUUCUCGAUUGGUCCAGUCAAAUAUAUUCGAAUGCUAUUUAAGAUAUUUUUUGAUUAAGGGUUAGUAUUUCGUACAUGUGGAUUACUGAAACUUGUAUUAAGAUGUACAAAUAUUAUAAAUCGUAUUAUAGUGUAUAUAUAUUAAAGUGUUGGCUAUUUUCUUGUACAUUGGUGUGAAACUUGUAUAAUUUCAAAUUUGUCAUUCUCAGCUACAUUAUUGUCAUUCUAAUGGUUCGUGUAAUGGUGGAGCUGCAUGGAGAACAAGAUAAAACUAUAGGAAAUUGAGAAAUGUGAUAGUUAUUAGUUGUUGUAAAUUGGAGAACGAUGACAGUUAUUUAACAAAAUAAAUUGUCACGAUUGCUCUAUAUGUGACAGGAAUAACAUGUCGUCAAUAGGUAAACAAUGACAAUUAUUGCAAUAUAUUUGACUGCAAAAAAAUGUCGUCAAUAGCAAAACAAUGACAUUUAAUGUUAUCGAAAAACUGUCACGAUUGCACAAUCGUUGACUGGAAAAAAAUGUCGUCAAUACCUAAACAAUGACAUUUUUACAAAAAAAAAAGGUCGCGAAUAACAUAUUCAUGACAUAUAAUACAUGUCACAAUAAAUGAAUUCGUGACAUUUAUUUAACUGUCGUUAAUAAAGAAAUGAUGAUAGUUAUCGAAUGUCAUAAAAUAAUUUUAUGACAGUUAUUUGAAGUUGUUGAAUGUUGAUUAACGACAUUUAUUUUAUGUCAUAAAAUAACCUAUUGCGACAGUUUUCGAAAACUGUCGUCGAACGACUUUCCAUGACUCUCGCUUCUAUGACUGAAAAUAACUGUCGCGAAAUUCGUUGACGACAGUAAAUAACUGUCGUUGUAGACCACUUUUGUACUAGUGUUGCCUUAAAGAAUUCUAUACUUGAUAUCAAGUAGGAAACCUAGCUACAGGAGUACUCUUGAUAGAUUCACCUUUGUGGAUGUGGAAGUGAGGGCAGCUUCCUAUGGAAUCCUAAGCAAAUUUCUAGAAUGUUCACUUAAAUUGGGAUAUACGUGCAAGGCCUUAAAGCCUGAACAAUUUUAGAACUUCGCUCAAAUAAUGUUAUGUGUGCAAUUUUAUUAGAAGUAAAGUUCAAAACUACGAGUUACUUUAAAAUACUCUAAAAGAUUGUCCUUACGUAAAAGUUCAAGUCAUUAGAUACCUUUACUUAAGCACAAUAUUAUAAAGAUAGACAUUGCUCGAUGAAAAUGUUUUUAAAAAAAAUUAAGUCGGAGACUAAUAGUAAAAAAAUUUCAAGAGAGAGAUUGUUAAAUGAAAAUUUUGAGUUAGCAAAUAUUUAUUACUUUAUUCUAAACAUGCAUUUCCACAUUACUUAGAUAGCAAUGUAAAAGUCUCAUUUAUAAAAUCAUACAUUCAUUCAUGAGUUUGGGCUCUAAAAACAUCCAAGUUUUGGAAGGAGUGAGGAGAUAGGCAAAAGUAGGUUUGUCAAUAUCUCCACGCGAGCUGCCGCCUUCCGUGAGUCAGGCGUGGCGAGGAGAGGAGAGGAAUAAUAAUAUAAUAUAUAUUUUUGCUAAAACUAUUUCUUAUAUUAUAAACAUUUUUGUAAUUAGACUUUUCAAAAAAUGAAACCGUUUCAAAUUAAAUGGUAAUUAUUAAUCAACGAUUUUUCUUUUUUAACAUUAAUAUUAUGACCAUUGGAGUCUCUCUCUCUACUCACUGUAUAUGGGUCUCAUUCUUCUCUUCUCAUUACACAAUGAUUUCUCUCUCAAGUUCUCUCAUCUUUAGUACUCCAAGUAUUUAAAGUGUCUUUAAGUGUUGAGAUUCUGAUUAUUUUCAGUGCAAAACUCAUUGAAGAACACGGUUGUUUUAUCCUAAGAACGACGGGGUAGUAAAAAUUUGUUUGCACAAAAGAGGAGAGUCGCAAAACGUCUUCAAGAAAGCGAGAUUCGUGACUCAGCCAUUUUCUAAUAUGUUUGCAUUUUGCAGUAGCCAUUUUGACCAGGUGAAUUGAUCGUUUGACGAGUUGAUUAGUUGGCGUUCUUAUCAGUACGCGAGUUAAUCAUUUGACGAGUUGAUCGAUUGACAACUUACUCAUUACGCAAGCUGCCUAUAGAAGGCGUUCUAACCAGACGAAAUACUAACACAUUACACGAGAUACAAAGCAAGGAAGAACGCAUUCUGUCUAUGGAUUCUAACUAGGCAUUAAGGCUUCUCAAUGCAUCACUCCUUCUAGGCAAUUUGCAACAACACUUCUCAAUCCAUCAAGUCUUUACUGUUCAUUGUAGUUUAGGUUUGUGAUAAGUUCUUGAUAAGAAGCUUAGCUUAUAAAGCUUAUCGCGUUAGUUGAGCUAUAAUCAUUACUUGGUUAGUGUAUAUUGUCACUAGAAGAAAAACCCUCUACUAUGACAUUUAUUUAUAUCACAAAAUAGAGGGAGAAAAAAAAAUGUCACGAAAGGGAAAAAAAACGCGUUUUUGGCGGGAAAAGACUGAAAUUUUCGAAAAAUAUUUUUCGCGACAGUUAUUUGAUGUCAUAAAAUAGAAAUAAAAUAAUAAUAAAAUAAUAUAUUUAAUAUAAAAAAAAUAAUAACUUUUUUAGGGAUUUUUAACUUAUUCCCUUCUCCCCUUUCCCUUUUGCCUCCCCUUUCUGCUUUCUCCCCUUUCUCCCCUUUCGCCUCUCAUUUCAGAUUUCUUCCCUUUCGCCUCCCAAUCUUCGAACUCCUUGAACUCCCUUCUCUAGACGACGACGAGGUCCAUCAUCGGCACUGCCCCCUCGUGGCCAUCUCUCCACUCCAACGCCGCUUGUACCUCUUCUACUACACGACGAACGGGCUACGACCACUCUUUGGAGUCUACCAUUGAAGCCUCCAAAUCUCGCCUUUCUCAGAUUCGUUCCACCUCUUAUCCUCAUUUCCAAAAGGCAAUUGUAAUUUCUUCAUCCCUUAUUAUUACUAUUGUUUUUUUCUUACCUCUCCUGUUGUUCUUUGUUUAGUUUCCAAUUAAGGAUGAAUGUUAGUUUAGGUCUCUAAGAGAAAGGGUUGAAAGGUUUUGAAUCGUUACUCUCUGUACUUUUCUUUGAGUAAGUCAUCCUAAAAAAGAUAGUUUUAUAGCAUUUGAAUAAAGCUUUAGGCUAUUUGCUAGAUUGCGAAGUGGUUUCUGGAUACAAAACCCCAUGGUCGAAAUUUAAGAAGAAUCGAGUUCUUGCUCCUGCCGAUUUUUUCAAUUAAACUUGAAACUCAAUUCUCAACAUUGCAUCUAAGAUAUGUUCUUCACAAAUUUUUGUAUUUAUUCCUUAAUUUUUCUAGAUUUCUGGCUGCCACUAAGUAAAUGAAUAUUCUUUCUUUUGUGUUGCCCACCAAUUGUUUGAUGAAAUGCCCAUGGGAGGAAAUCUUGAUUAUUGAAUGUACAUAGGAGGAAAUCAUUUUAGAAUGUUAUUAUAGUGGAAUCCUGGUGAACUAGAUUUUAUUUUAAUGGUUCUAAUUUUAUUAGUUAACUUUCUUUUGAGGUAGGGGAUAAGACCCUUUGAAUAAAAUUUUGAUUAGUUAAAACAUAAUCAUAAUUCUUUAUGAUUAGUUAUCAUGUUUUUGCUUGGAGAAUAUUGACUUUUUGUUGAUACUUAAAUCAUGUUCUUAGUGAUGGUGCCAGUUCCUUCCCAUUUCCCUACUCCCUCUCUCUAGUGUGUGUGUUUGCUUUGAUCAAUUAAUGUGGUACAUAUCUGGUGGUAUUUUAUUUAGGUUUGUGAUUUUGGACUUUCACGCUUGAAGUCCUUUAUCAAACUCCUUUUAAAGGUAAAGUUUGUUGUAAACUCUUUUGAAAAACUUGUUUUAAUUAAUUAAAUUUAUGUUUCAAACUUUGAAUUUCUCCCUAUUAUAUAUGUAUAUAUGCUUGUAAAUUAAAUUUAAUUAGAUUGAUCGAACAAGAUUUAAAGACGUAUAAUUGGAUAUUUUGACCUUUUUAACGAUCAUUUGUUCUUCACAUGUGAGUAAAUAAUUGUUAAUUCCCCUCUAUUGUGAAACUCAUUUUAUGUUAUAAACAAAUUUAGAUGCUAAAUCAUUUGAGUUGAUAGUGAUCAUAAUAUAAUAUAUAAUUCUAAUUACAAUAUUGUUGUUGUUUGAUUAUUUUGUACAUAUAUGGUGUGAUACUUCAAAUCCUAAUUUAUUUUGAUCUUGUUAUAUAUAUACUCUUCUAAUUCAAAAGUUAAAUCAAUAUAUGUAUAUAUGUGUUAUGUAUUAAAAAUGUUAAAAACACGACACUUCUUUUGUCUAAACUUUAGCUUUCUUUAUAACUAACUAUUCAUUCUUUUUUGGGAACAUUUUGGAAAAUAUGGAAAAUUACAUAUUACUACAUGGUUGAUGGGUUUCAAAGCUGUACAAACCAAGGUGUAAAGUAGAAACACUCUAGUCCUACCAAAUUUAUAGCACACAGUUCUCAUGUCUUCCUUUCUUUCUUAUAUAAGCGACUUUUUUUUAGUUGUGCUUAUUUUUGUCUAAACAAUUUUGGUGAAAAGAAUAAAAAGAAUAACAGAGAAGAAGACAAUGCAACUCAUUCAGGCGGAUUGUGAUUUAGAAGAUAUAUGUCAUGUAUGAGUGUUCUAUCUCUUUUAUGCGUUGUUGAUUAAUUAAUUAGUCUGGCCACAUUUUUAGUUAGCUAGCUUUAGAUCUGUCUCUUUCCAAUAGAAUGGAAAAGAUCCAUUUGUAAAAGGUUAGAUUCACAGAUUUGACAUAAUUCUUUUCAAUUGAGAUCCUCUUUAUGGUUCUCCCCCAACAUGGAUCACUUAGCCGUGUCAAGCAUUGUUCCUGGUGGUUCAUUACCUAAUAUAUUUUUCCCAAAGAUGCAUGCCAAGAGCCAGAUUUUCUGUUAGUAUUAUUUUAUGAUCCCAAUAGUCUCUCUCUUGAGAAAUGAGAAUAUUGAUCUGGAAGUAUAAAUUCUAAUUGCCCAUAGUAUAGAGCCCAAUGUAUAUCACUUUUAUCGAGACUAGAUGUUGUCUUCCUAUUACCACUAUUUAUGACAAUGAAAGUUCUAAUGGACCAGUUGAGACAUAGGAUAUAAAUAAUGCAACUUUAUAGAUCACAGAGAAAAAUUAUUUCAUCUUAUAAGUUAUAUUAAGUUGAAGGUAGUGACUCUCUUAUCUUAACCUUUUUUAGCAAAGGAAAAAAAGGAAAGAAAAACCUAAAUCAAUAUCAUCAACCAUGAACCCCAUAAAGUCAUUUUACGUACACUGAAAAAGUUGCAUUCAAAAUGGCUUGGGUCUAAGUUGAAGAUAUUACAAAGAGCAAUUUCUAAAUUGGCAAUAUGGUCGUAAUGCAGCCACAAGCGAGUUGGAAUAUGCAUUUGUUGAGGUACUUUUUUUAGAUUAUUUUUUAUUCUUUCUAGUACUUCGGCAAAAUGCUCUUUAUUGUUUUGCAGUGCAAAAACUUAAUUGCUGAUGUUGGGGAUAUGAUGAGCGUCCAAGUGAUUGUUGAAGGAUCAAUGAAUAGUUCGAACCCCUACUUCUCAAGCUCUUGGUGGCGAGACUUCGCUGUAAGUGUUCUUCUAGUAAACAACCACAACACAAUUUUUAAAUAUUAUCUAUGCUGUUUUCAUUUUUCCCAUCAAACCAUGAUUCAUGACUGCCACUUUUACACUUUUUCAUGGAAGAAUAUGAUGUUUUUAUUAUAGAUGGAACUAUUGUAUAAUGGAAUGCCCAAUAACAAGACCUCUACAUUUAUAUCUAUGUUAUCUCUCUCUCUCUUUUUGUUCUUCUUAUCCCGAUGAUGUAUUCUUAAAUUUUAUCUUUCAUUGACAACAUAUGUCUAGUGUCAGGGGGGUUUCAUUCUGGAUAUGGGCGUACACUUCAUUGUUGGAUUACGGAUGGUAACUGCCUUUGAAACUUUUUUCCUGUGAGAAAAAUAUUUGAGUUCUAUCCUAAUGGCUAUCACUUGCCCACUGAUUAACCAUUACUGUUUCUGCUCUUCUUUAAGUCCAAAAUGUUUAUAAUCUCAAAAUUGACAAAACCUAUAAAACCAGUACAAGUCUCAAGUACAUAAGAUGAGGUGGUGAUGAAUUACAAGCGUGACUGUCGCAAAGGCUCUGAUUUGUGGAAGAAAAAAAAACCACCUUUAGUCAUGCAUGGCAUUUAUGUUCCCUCCCCGAUGGCACCAUCCUUGAUAUGAUAUUUUUAAUUUGGAAAUGCUAGUUUCUUGUAUUUGUAAACAACUUGUUGGAUGGGAGGUGGUAUCAGUUUCAGCGACUACCUCCUAUGUGGAUAAGUCUUUACCUCUGCCAGAUAACAUAUCCUCGCUCUUGGAAGUUUCAAUUGCUUACUGCUAAUUAAUGAGUCACCAACAAGUUUGAAAACCUAGAAAUUAAGAAGGAUGACAUUUUUCCCUCCUUUAGCCAACUGGAGAAUGGAUGUUCUGGUGUUUUCGUAAUGGUGUUUCUACUUGAUUUACAUCGUAAGCAGUUUUCUUUUUUCCAGGUUAAUCUUGUAAGAACUAAAGAAAACUUACCAAUAUCCGUUCUGCUUGCAAAGAUGAAAAUGUGAAGCUAUCUCCACCUCGACUUGUAUGUUAUUUCUACAUUGAGUUCAAUUGUAUAUAUUUUAGUGUUAUUGUGAAUUCGGUAUCCAAGAUGUAGAAUUCAGCUCUAGAACGUCAGGACACGAGUAGGCUGAAAAACUUUAUUAGCUUUUCCUAAGUAUGAUUACUCACAAUAACAUCUAAUUUUAAACUUAAAUGCAGAGAUGAGUCUUGAAGAAGUGAUAAGAUAUGUUGCAUCUGAUGAACUUAUUAAGGUAGUUUAUGCUUUAUUCAUUCAAAUUGUCUUUUCCAUCUAUAAGAGUUGUACUCUCUUGUCCUAUCAUGGAUGCUUAUAUUCAUGUUGUCUUUGUAGGUUCAACUGGAGUCGACAACUUCAUGAGUUUUCUUUCAAAGAACAUUUCCAAAGACGAACAUUCUCGGUUGGUCGUUUAUGCUUCUGCAGAAAAUCUUGUUAGAUGUAUUCUAAUGCUAUUUAAAAUAUUUUUUGAUUAAGGGCUAGGAUUCCGUACAUGUGGAUUGUUGAAACUUGUAUGGAGAUGUACAAACAUUAUAAAUUGUAUUAUAGUGUAUAUAUAUUAAAGUGUUGGCUAUUUUUUUCUACAUGGAUGUCAAUAUUAUAAAUUCAAAAUUGUCAUUCUCAGCUACAUUAUUGUCAUUCAAAUGGUUCGUGUAAUGGUGGAGCGGCAAGGACAACAGGAAAAAACUGUAGUAAAUUGAGAAAUGUGUAACAGGAAAUAAAUGACGUAAUAAAUGAAUUUGUGACAGUUAUUACUUGUUGUAAAUUGGAGAACGAUGACAGUUAUUUAACAAAAUAAAUUGUCACGAUUGCCCUAUAUGUGACAUGAAUAAAAUGUCGUCAAUAGAUAAACAAUGACAUUUUUUUUAAAAGAACUGUCACGAUUGCAAUAUAUUUGACUGCAAAAAAAUGUCGUCAAUAGCAAAACAAUGACAUUUUUAAAAAAAAAAACUGUUGCAACAUAUUCAUGACAAUUAAAAAAUGUCACAAUAAAUGAAAUUCGCGACAUUUAUUUAACCGUCGUUAAUACACAAAUGAUGAUAGUUAUUUGUUGUCAUAAAAUAAAAUAUGACAGUUAUUUGAAGUCGUUGAAUGUUGAUUAACGAUAUUUAUUUCAUGUCAUAAAAUAACCUAUUGCGACAGUUUUUAAAAACUGUCGUCGAAGGACUUUCCAUGACUCCCGCUUCUAUGACUGAAAAUAACUGUCGUGAAAUUUGUUUACGACAGUAAAUAACUGUCGUCGUAGACCACUUUUCUACUAGUGUGUCAACUACUCGAGAGAGCAAGUAGUAAAGAUGUGGUUAACGCACGCAAGGAGGAGUUUGGAGACAAACUCCAACUUGGCGAGAUAACUUCCAUCAUUUUUGUCCCAAAAGGCAAGCAAGUGAAGUAUUCGGCGCCGAGAGGUUGUAACCCAUAAAAGUGAAGUUUUAUAAGUUGUAUAAGUAAACCUUUCUAGAUAGAUCUCACUUAACCCAGUUUAGUCAUUUGCAUCUCGAGAGGCGAGUAAAUGUUGCCUUUAAAGUAGUAAAAGGUGUUCACCUUAAUCAUAAGUUAGUUAACUAAGCUCUAUCACAUCAAGGUUGCGUAAUUACGCAAUGAAGAGAGACAUACUGAGCAUCUCGCAUGCAAUGAUCGUGAUCAAUGACUCACCGCAUAUAAUUAGAUUUAAGCAUACACAACACUACAUAACCCUAAGUCCAAAUCAACAAGUAGGAUUUCAUGAUAAUCUUAGGCAAAAUCUACCCUAAGAUCUAACACAUAAUGCAUAAAAGGAUGCAAACCUUCAAAAUCUCGGGACUCAUUCAAUAGAUAUCGGGACAAUUUCAUCCAAAUCAUUCAUGUUCUUGACGAACCCAAGAGGUUGAAAUUAGGAAGAUUCAUCAAAUGAACCUAACCUAUAUGAAAUAAAAACACCAAAUAUGCAAAACAUCCAAGAGUGUAGGGCCACGGCAUCAAAUUUCAUAACAAACCCCAACAAAUGAAAACUUAAAUGCAGACCAAUGAACAAAAAGCGUUCAAAGUGGAAUACCUUCUACAAAUUGAAGCUCACGCGAAAGAAGUGAAUCUUAGUUAUUUUGAGAGCAAAGAGGUUGAUAACUAAGUGUGAAGAUGAAGGGGUUUGUAUUUUGAUAAUUGCCCAAUAGUUUCUAUUUUGAAUUUGAAACAAUUAUUAGUGACAAUCACUUCGGACUAUUUUCUAAACGUAAAACCCAAAGCACACCGUUUUGGACAAUUUCACGUAAAUAUGUUGAAAACUUAUAUAUAUUUGUAAAUUGAUUUAAAUUUGGGUACAUUUACCACACUUUUGCCUUAUUUGAGUUAUUUAUUUAUGCAAGAACCCUUUACACAUACCUCUCUUUGGAAGUCGAUACCGAACCAAUCACACCGUUUCUUGCAAAGUUACCCGUCGUUAAUCCCCGACUGAUUUCCUUGAAUUCAAUUGCAGAUUCCGAAUUUGUAUAUUGUGAAAUCACUGCUAGUCCAUGGAGUAGAAUAUCAUGAAGGAAGUCAAAGGGUAGUAGUGGAGGGAUGGUUCUGAGUCCCCAUUUUUCUCAAAACGCUACCAAGCCCUUCCACUCCGCCAUUUCGCUUCUUCCAUACUCUCAUACUUGAUCGCCACCUUUUUGUUCUUAUCUUCUUCAACAAUGUCUAUGUCUCUCCUUCAAUUCAUUGCCAUUUUGAUGCUUUUCGAUUCCCUCUGCUUCUCAUCUCGUCUCUCUACUGCUUCGCCGCUCAAUCACCAGUAUAAUGUCGGAGAUCCCGUUCCGUUAUUCGUCAACAAGGUCGGACCUUUGACCAACCCCAGGUAGUUCAUUCCAAUCCAUUUCCUUUACUAAUUUUACCUUCUUUCUUAUUAUUUGAUUUGUACCCAUCGUAAGCCUUGUGACUAUGAUGAAGUAGCGAUGUGAGAAAUUUGAACUGCCUUAAAAGUUAUUGUGUCCAUGAUUUCUUAACUAUGAUCAUAUCUGUGUAUAGGUUUAGAGUGGAUUGUACUACAGUUAGAUGAAACAUUGAAAUUGACACAAAUGUGGAAAAACUAUUCUUGUUCUUGUCCUGUCUUAUUGGGUAACUCUUGGAACUACAUUUUCGACAUAUUGCUCAUUUUUUUGGAAUCAAUAUGCACUGAGGAAAGCAGGGGAUUCCUCCCUGUGCCGCUGUGUCAAAUCCUUGUAGCUUUACCAAUCAGGUUUCUCGUUGGACUAGUUUCAAACAUUAAAAAUGUUGACUUUUUUAUUGGAGCAAGAAUGCCAUUUUAACUUAUUGGAGAACAAGUCCAGCCUUAUAUUGAAUUCGUUCUCUUUCUCUAUCUUUUUGUAUCUUGCUUCCGCUUCAGUCUUAUUGUUUACUUCAUUUCCAAUUUGCUUGCAGUGAGACAUACCAAUACUAUGAAUUACCGUUCUGCCGUCCAGGUUAGCCUUUCAAAGAAGCAUAAUUAGAAAAGCUUUCAUGUUUUAGUAGAUACUAGUGCUAUUUUAGAAUCACUUUUGUUGAAAUUUUUCUUUAUGGAAUAGUCCGUUUGAAGGUCUUCUCCUUAGCUUGCAGAUCCAGUAGUCCCAAAGAAAGCAACCUUGGGGGAGGUUUUAAAUGGGGAUCGGCUGAAUGGUGCCUUGCAUGUGAUAAAAUUUAGGGAAGAGAAACGAUGGGAAACUCUAUGUGAAAAGAAGCUAAAAGGUGCUGAAGUUUCAUUGUUCAGGGAUGCUGUCAGGGAUGAUUUUUACUUCCAACUGUAUUGUGAUGAUCUUCCAGUGUGGGGUUUUGUUGGCAAAAUUGAUGAACAGAGUUGGUCCCUAGACAAGCAGGGUCCAAAAUAUUAUCUCUUCACACAUAUUCAGUUUGACGUUUCCUUUAAUGAGAACCAAAUUGUUGAAGUUAGUGCAUUUAGUGAUCCAAAUCAUGUUGUUGAUAUAACAAAUGAUGUUGAACUCAAUGUCAAGUUCACUUAUUCUAUUGUUUGGAAUGAAACUUCGGCUCUGUAUGGAGAUAGAAUGAAUAAGUAUUCGAGGGCUUCACUACUGCCUAUCAGUCAGAGAAUUCACUGGUUUUCAUUCCUUAAUUCAAUUGCUAUUAUUGUGCUGUUGAUGGGAUUGCUUACUUUGCUUUUUAUGCGACGUCUCAAGAAUGAUUUGAGGAAGUAAUGUCUUGUAAAUAAAUUCUGCUCGAGUCUUUUAAAUUUUAAUAAAGCUUGCUCUGUAAAUUAUCUGACCUUCUUUUUUCCUUUUUGUGUGUGUGUGUGUGUUUAGGUGUUCUGGUGGUGAUGAAGAGGAUGAAAAAGAGGUUGUUUGGAAGUAUCUUCAUGGAGAUGUAUUUAGAUGUCCUCAAAAUUUACCCCUCUUUAGUGCCGUUUUGGGUGUCGGUACACAGCUUCUGACUAUGUAAGUUAAUUUGAACUAUUUCUUCUAUAAUCGAUCUUCAUUUUAAAAUAUUGAUAUGUCAACUGCAAUACUAGCAUUUUUAUUAUGCAUUCGGAUAACAGAAGAAUUGUGUCCAUGUAUUAUCCUCAUCGGCGGUACAAUUAAUUGCCAGAGUUUUACUGAAGCAACCUUGACCAUUGCAUUUUAAAAUACAACCAUCACUUACUUCCUAGGAAAGUGAUAGACCCCUCAUACUCAAGGUGUAUUCAUGUAGGGAUAAAAGUGGGAAGAAGAAAGAAUGAUUGAGAGUUAGUAAUUUUUACUGUAUGGACCCUUAGGAGCAUGCUUGUUACCGGCCAAGUAUUCUGUUAAUUUUUUCAGUAUUUGACUAUUUAGGUAUCUAGAAUGGUUGGGGGAGGGUAUUUUUUUGCUAAAUGAUUUUGGUGUAGAAUUCUCAAUAGAGAAGCAUGGAGAGACUGGGGAGCUCUCAAAUUCUUGCCCAAUAGUUGAUAAAUAAAAUUGUGGCCGAGGCCUUAACAAUUUUGGUACUAGAGCCAUUGUUUUUGGAAUGGUUGGUCAAGCUAGGGUGAUCGAACUGGAAGAAAAUUUGGUGGGAGUAAACAUAGGGAUGACCGAGAUAGAAGGUAGAGUAGAAGAAAAGUUCUUGCGAGUAGAAGAACGAAAGUUAGCAUUCGAAAGGAAGAUGGACACACAGUUUGCAGAAGCAGAAAUUCGAAGGAGAAUGGCAGAAUAGAAGAUUGAGGUAAAUCUGUCAAAAUUGAGUGAGGAUUUGUUGUUGAUACAAGGGAUGGGAGUGAUGGGAAGUGCAUCGAGAGGAUUUACAUCUAGUUAAAGAACUAUCACAAACAAGGGAAAAAAUAAUUAAUGAGGAACAAAUUCAGGAAGAAAAAAGUGAACAAAAAACUAACCUAGUUGUGGAUGAAGGAAUCAAAGUACCUUGUGCACCAAACCAUCGUGAGAUACCCCUCUUGGACAUGAGGUUAUGGAAAUUAGAGGUACCAAUAUUUAAAGGAUAAGAAGAAGAAAAUGUGGACAAAUGGCCACAUCACAUGGAACACUAUUUUGUGGUGAAU